rnacentral:rRNA from 2 species
GUGUACGUACAAGCAGUGGGAGCACCCUUUGGGUGUGACUGCGUACCUUUUGUAUAAUGGGUCAGCGACUUAUAUUCUGUAGCAAGGUUAACCGAAUAGGGGAGCCGGAGGGAAACCGAGUCUUAACCGGGCGUUAAGUUGCAGGGUAUAGACCCGAAACCCGGUGAUCUAGCCAUGGGCAGGUUGAAGGUUGGGUAACACUAACUGGAGGACCGAACCGACUAAUGUUGAAAAAUUAGCGGAUGACCUGUGGCUGGGGGUGAAAGGCCAAUCAAACCGGGAGAUAGCUGGUUCUCCCCGAAAGCUAUUUAGGUAGCGCCUCGUGAAUUCAUCUCCGGGGGUAGAGCACUGUUUCGGCUAGGGGGCCAUCCCGGCUUACCAACCCGAUGCAAACUGCGAAUACCGGAGAAUGUUAUCACGGGAGACACACGGCGGGUGCUAACGUCCGUCGUGAAGAGGGAAACAACCCAGACCGCCAGCUAAGGUCCCAAAGUCAUGGUUAAGUGGGAAACGAUGUGGGAAGGCCCAGACAGCCAGGAUGUUGGCUUAGAAGCAGCCAUCAUUUAAAGAAAGCGUAAUAGCUCACUGGUCGAGUCGGCCUGCGCGGAAGAUGUAACGGGGCUAAACCAUGCACCGAAGCUGCGGCAGCGACACUGUGUGUUGUUGGGUAGGGGAGCGUUCUGUAAGCCUGUGAAGGUGUGUCGUGAGGC